CCAGACAGCUUUGGCUCCAGGCUGGCCGCACGAUCAGCCCCCACCUUGGCCAGGCACAGUUGAUGGGACCCAACAAAGGUCUGAGCUCCCCUGGCCCUGGGAUCUGGUGGCUCAGUAGAUCUAGGCACGUUCAUUUCCCAGCUGCCCUUCUAUAGGCUAGAGGAAAGAGGAUUUAGCCAGAGCAGAAAGUUCAGGGAGGAGAGAAGAUGCCAUGGACAUGAUGGUAAAUGUUCAUGGACACCUAGGCGCUGUCUCCCAGCUCACCACUCUGUGCUGGGGACCAGGGUGCAAAGACCUGCAUGGGAACAAAGUUCUCAAAGAAGUCUGUGAACUACUUCUGCCCAUGUGCCGCUCUGCCUUGGAGCCAGCCAACUAUGGACCCAAACCUCUACAAACUGUUCUGAGGACAGGACUGGCUGGGUCUGCUGCUCUGAAGCUCCUACCACAUCACACCACGAGGCAGCCCCUCAGUGGCACCACCCAGAAGUGUCCCGGGGAGGUGGCAAGUGACCCAGAUUCAAGUUGGAGAAGUCAGCCGUGGCCAAAUCCCCGCCCUUUUAACCUCGAACUUCUCUUGGAGGGUCUGGUGCCCCUACAGCCCAGAUACCAAGUACCCACAAAGAGAUCUCAAGCGGAGUGCUUCCCUCACCUCCCUACAUCAAGAGGAGAACGUUUUAAAAAUGUUUUUAUUUAAUAAAAAAAAAAAGAGACAGAACUAACAACCCCAAACCAAUCGUGGGUACAGGUGCUUAACUGGAGAAACACAUGGGGGUGGGGGGGGAUGGGAAGCGAGCAACGCUGCACACCUCCCCGGAAGGUGCCAAGUCUGAGACCAGCAGCAUCAGGGAGCCGGCUCGGCUCCCGCUGCUCGAGCAGGCCUGGCUGGAGGAAGGGCGAGCCAGAGACCAGGGUCCCCAGAGAUGGACGGCAGCGGGGAGAAAGGCUGUGCAGGCUGGAGCGGCUGAGGUUGUUUUGCUCCCUGCCCUCUGUCCCUCUUGGUUGCAUUUUUUCUUUCUUUCUACUCUUUCUUGGACCCCAGAGAGGGUCUGCGUUCUCCAUCUGGGACAGGGCAAGAGGUAGGAAUCAUUGGAACACAGCUUUCUUUAUGGGACCACAGAAACUGCUGGGGCAGUGGGCGGGAAGGGGCUUGAGUGGAAGCAACGGCCAGGCUGCCUCGCUGUUGGAACAGACAGAAGACGAGUCCUGGGGCUUUGCUGGGCGAUGGUUUUCUUCAGCCUGGUAAGAUGAUGGCAUGGUGGUGGAGGUGUAGAGGACAGGCCAGGGUGGCGGGUGGACAGGCCACACGCCCAGAUGCUGCUGCGGUGCUCACUGUUACGCAUGCUAGACACAUCGCCAUCCAGAGCAACCCCACCAGAGGAAAGGGUUUCAAGCAAGCACGAAGGGGCCCUGGAUGCCUCGCAUCUCGGCUCACCGGCACACAGGGGCAGUUGGCUGGAGAUGUGACGUGAGAUGUCCUCUCCUGCGUGUGGAGAGCGGGAGGGACGACGGCCAGGCCUCGGGGACUGGGUUCUGAACUCCUAGGGCUGGGUCCGCCAGGGGCUCCACGAGCAGGUGGCUGAGGUAAGAAUUUGCUCAUCACGUCUAAGUGCGACACCUACCGGGAUCACAGAUGACUGCUGGGGAUUGGUUAAGAAGUUUCAAAAA